CUCCGUCAUUCUCACUCAUUUCAUAAUUCAUUCAUAUGAAUCCCAUUCUCUCUCUCUCUCUCCACACACAUCACACCAUCCUCUUCAAUUCUUCUUCAUCUUCCAUAUCUCUUUUCUUAGGGUUCCAUUCCACGUACGGUUACCGUCAUUUGCAAUGCUCAAUUCUACGUACAUUCAUUCAAUUCAGUCUUGACGCUCUUUUUUUUGUUCUCAUCAUUUGUAGAAACACCAAAGCUUCUUCAAAUCCAACCACCCGAACUCAGAUUUCUCUUUGAAUUAAAGAAACAAAGCUCGUGCCUGGUUCACAUUGUAAACAAGUCCGAUCAGUAUGUUACUUUUAAGGUGAAAACAACGUCUCCAAAGAAAUAUUGUGUUAGACCUAACUUAGGCAUCAUCAAGCCAAAGGAAACAUGUGAUUUUACUGUCUUCCAACAAGAAUGGAGCCUGCAAGGAUAAGAAUCCAAGAGGGCUUCAUGACACAAGCAGCAGACUCAUUGCUUCAGCAAAGUUGAGCAUUAGUUCUAGUCCAGAUGUGAAGGGAGGAUGUCUUCAAGGAGGAAACCUUAGUAGGUCACCAGCAGCACCUAAAUUCAAAGGAGUACAAGUUUUCACAUACAAGGAGAUAGAAGUGGCCACAAAUGGAUUCAGUGAAGCAAAUGUCAUUGGUAAUGGAGGGUUUGGUUUGAUGUACAGAUGAGUCCUAAGUGAUGGUACUUUGGCAGCAAUCAAGUUGCUACGCAGAGAAUGUAAGCAAG